GCUGUUCCAUAUGCAGCCGUAGAUUUGGUGUGUCCAUGGAAGGAGGUGAGUUCAGGAUCUUCCUAUGAUGCCAUCUUGAAGUGGAGCCCGCCUUUCUCCUUAGGGAGUAUUGGCCACUGUGCUAAAGUGCCAACUUCUCUUCUGAAGGCGCUGGGCUGAACAUGACGGGGAAAACAGAAAAGACAGGCUCCUGGACCUCACAGAACUUACAGGACAUGUGCCUCCGUCAAGGAGCAGAUGUGAGACAGCUGGAGUUGCAGCCACACCACUCACCCUGAG